UCUCUCAAGUCUUCUCAGCAAACUGACUAGAAUUGGAAUGAUACAGAGGAGAUUAACAUGAUCCCUGUGGAGAUAUGACCCACAAACUUGUAAAAAUAAUGAAUCUUAU